GGCCUGGUUUUGGCUUAAUGGAUAAGGCACUAGCCUCCUAAACCAGAGAUAGUGGGUUCAAGCCCCAUCUGGGGUG
rnacentral:tRNA from 1 species